rnacentral:rRNA from 1 species
UACGGGGGGGAGCAAGCGUUGUUCGGAUUUACUGGGCGUAAAGGGCGCGUAGGCGGCGUGACAAGUCACUUGUGAAAUCUCCGGGCUUAACUCGGAACGGUCAAGUGAUACUGUCGGACUAGAGUACAGAAGGGGGCAACUGGAAUUCUCGGUGUAGCGGUGAAAUGCGUAGAUAUCGAGAGGAACACCUGCGGCGAAGGCGGGUUGCUGGGCUGAUACUGACGCUGAGGCGCGAAAGCCAGGGGAGCGAACGGG